rnacentral:rRNA from 1 species
GAUGAACGCUAGCGGGAGGCUUAACACAUGCAAGUCGAGGGGCAUCACAGGUAGCAAUACUGGGUGGCGACCGGCGCACGGGUGAGUAACGCGUAUGCAACCUACCCUGUACAGGGGGAUAGCCCGGAGAAAUUCGGAUUAAUACCCCAUAAUGAUAUUUAGAGGCAUCUUUAGAUAUUUAAAGUUUCGACGGUACAGGAUGGGCAUGCGUGACAUUAGCUAGUUGGUAAGGUAACGGCUUACCAAGGCUACGAUGUCUAGGGGUCCUGAGAGGGUGAUCCCCCACACUGGUACUGAGACACGGACCAGACUCCUACGGGUGGCAG